GCUGGGGUAGCCAAGCUAGCUUUCCGCCGGAGGCGGGGGUCUUGAAAACUUCUCGCGAGGGUUCAAAUCCCUCCCCCAGCG
rnacentral:tRNA from 1 species